rnacentral:lncRNA from 1 species
UGGGGACUGGCCCAGCAUUUUAAACUUAAUCCAGGCCAUGGCCAGCUGGACCCUGAGAUGGUGCUAUCUGAGAAAGCCAAUGGGAGCACCCUCCGUGGGUGCACAGAGGAAAGGACGCUCAGCCUGACCUUCCCGGGGCUGUCCGUGCCAGCGGCUCCGCGUGAGGGAGGGGCCCGCUCCUGCUUGGUGAGAGAGUCAGCACGCGGUGGCCUGGGUGAACUGUCACCCCUACAACUCAGCUUGCAACCAGCCCUGGCCACCACCAGUUUCCCCACACUGAGCUGAAUAUUGGACAUGCCCAUCUUAGACAUUCCAGCCCAUUCUGAAAUUCCACAUCGAUUCACCCGACAAAGUCUGAAGUUCCAGGGCAAUUUAUCUGGAAAAGCUCACCUGGAAUCAUGUGUCAUUUCAACCAACAACUGUCGAAGAGGACGUGGCAUCAAAACCAAGGUUAUCAAUUAUUUAUAA